rnacentral:rRNA from 1 species
CCUACGGGGAGCAGCAGUGGGGAAUAUUGGGCAAUGGGCGCAAGCCUGACCCAGCAACGCCGCGUGAAGGAAGAAGGCCCUCGGGUUGUAAACUUCUUUUGUCAGGGACGAAACAAAUGACGGUACCUGACGAAUAAGCCACGGCUAACUACGUGCCAGCAGCCGCGGUAAUACGUAGGUGGCGAGCGUUGUCCGGAAUUACUGGGUGUAAAGGGAGCGUAGGCGGGACUGCAAGUUGGGUGUCAAAUCUACCGGCUCAACCGGUAGCCGCACUCAAAACUGCAGUUCUUGAGUGAAGUAGAGGCAGGCGGAAUUCCUAGUGUAGCGGUGAAAUGCGUAGAUAUUAGGAGGAACACCAGUGGCGAAGGCGGCCUGCUGGGCUUUUACUGACGCUGAGGCUCGAAAGUGUGGGGAGCAAACAGGAUUAGAUACCCCAGUAGUC